CCUGACCCUAGAAGCAUUGUGGAUGUGGCUGCUGUGUCACUUGGGCAUCCGUAGGUGGCAAAGAGGAGAGAGGCUCUGCUAUGCUCAGUGUUCUGACCUACGAACAUCUGAAUGAUUAGGAGUCUAAAAUU